rnacentral:rRNA from 3 species
UACGUAGGGGGCAAGCGUUGUCCGGAAUCAUUGGGCGUAAAGCGCACGUAGGCGGCCCGGUAAGUCCGUUGUGAAAGUCAGAGGCUCAACCUCUGGAGGCCAAUGGAUACUGCCGGGCUAGAGUCCGGAAGAGGCGAGUGGAAUUCCUGGUGUAGCGGUGGAAUGCGCAGAUAUCAGGAGGAACACCAAUGGCGAAGGCAGCUCGCUGGGACGGUACUGACGCUGAGGUGCGAAAGCGUGGGGAGCGAACAGG